rnacentral:rRNA from 1 species
GACGAACGCUGGCGGCGUGCCUAAUACAUGCAAGUCGAACGCAUUUUCUUUCACCGUAGCUUGCUACACCGAAAGAAAAUGAGUGGCGAACGGGUGAGUAACACGUGGGCAACCUGCCCAUCAGCGUGGGAUAACACUUGGAAACAGGUGCUAAUACCGCAUACUUCCAUUUUCCGCAUGGUAGAGGGAUGAAGGGCGCUUUUGCGUCACUGAUGGAUGGACCUGGGGUGGUUUAGCUAGUUGGUGGUGUAACGGCCUACCAAAGCUACGGUGCCUAGCCGGACUGGGGAGGGGGACGGCCAACCUUGGACUGAGAAACGGCCCAGACUCCUACGGGAGGCAGCAGUAGGGAAUCUUCGGCAAUGGACGGAAGUCUGACCGGGCAACGCCGCGUGAGUGAAGAAGGUUUUCGGAUCGUAAAACUCUGUUGUUAGAGAAGAACAAGGAGGGGAGUGGAAAGUUCAUCCCUUGACGGUAUCUAACCAGAAAGCCACGGCUAACUACGUG